GGGGAAUAUUGCGCAAUGGGGGAAACCCUGACGCAGCGACGCCGCGUGAAGGAAGAAGGCCUUCGGGUUGUAAACUUCUUUGAUCGGGGAAGAAAAUGACGGUACCCGAGGAACAAGCCACGGCUAACUACGUGCCAGCAGCCGCGGUAAUACGUAGGUGGCGAGCGUUGUCCGGAAUUACUGGGUGUAAAGGGCGUGUAGGCGGGGCGUCAAGUCAGGUGUGAAAUUCCGAGGCUUAACUUCGGGUGUGCACCUGAAACUGAUGUUCUUGAGUGUCGGAGAGGAAAGUGGAAUUCCCAGUGUAGCGGUGAAAUGCGUAGAGAUUGGGAGGAACACCAGUGGCGAAGGCGGCUUUCUGGACGACAACUGACGCUGAGGCGCGAAAGCGUGGGUAGCAAAC
rnacentral:rRNA from 1 species